GAUGAACGCUAGCGGGAGGCCUAACACAUGCAAGCCGAGCGGUAUUUGUUCUUCUGAACAGAGAGAGCGGCGCACGGGUGCGGAACACGUGUGCAACCUGCCUUUAUCUGGGGGAUAGCCUUUCGAAAGGAAGAUUAAUACCCCAUAAUAUAUUGAGUGGCAUCAUUUGAUAUUGAAAACUCCGGUGGAUAGAGAUGGGCACGCGCAAGAUUAGAUAGUUGGUGAGGUAACGGCUCACCAAGUCAAUGAUCUUUAGGGGGCCUGAGAGGGUGAUCCCCCACACUGGGACUGAGACACGGACCAGACUCCUACGGGAGGCAGCAGUGAGGAAUAUAGGACAAUGGGUUAGCGCCUGAUCCAGCCAUCCCGCGUGAAGGACGACGGCCCUAUGGGUUGUAAACUUCUUUUGUAUAGGGAUAAACCUACUCUCGUGAGAGUAGCUGAAGGUACUAUACGAAUAAGCACCGGCUAACUCCGUG
rnacentral:rRNA from 1 species